GCCAGCUCGUCCCGGUUAUCGAUCUCCUCGUGAAUCGAGACGACGCGUUCAAUUACGCACGGUCGUCGUGGAAUGUUUACGCUCGCCGUGGAAAAAAUGCAUCCCGCGCGAGCUGUCACUCUCGCCGAACUGUCACCUGUCACCUGUCAUUGACAGGUGACGUCACGGAUAGAACAUCCUCGCUCCUAACUUCAGAGCGUAUCUCGAAUGGAUGGCCUCGCGAGUUCUUCUCAGAAAAAUCCGAGGUCCAGAAGAUCCCGCGGCGGAGUUCUUGGAAGUUUUUUUGAAGAGGAGGAGGACGCAAGUAGCCGCGGCAGCAGGAGCGACAGGGACCACUGCAUCGCGCUGAUCCGCUGGUACCACGACGGAAGAUUGUCCAGAUGCAGGGUCACUCCGCCGGCCAGACUCAUCUCGCCCACUAUCAGACCGGCGAGCAGAGCCGCCGUGUACGUGGAUUCGCAGACGUGCGCGAAGAAGGUGCAGCCGAGGUGCUGCAGCAUCAGGUACAACAGACCGAUGGCGAGAUAGUGCCACAGUGACGUCAGGUUCUCAUCCGGAGCCAGGUGCAGCCCGGACAUGGCGUACGCCGGCGCCAGGUAUAUCAGGAAUAUAUUGGGACCGGAUCUCGAGGGCGGAAGUGCGCCGGGUGGACCGGGAUCGCUGAGAGGAGGUAACCUCGACCUGGCCAAUUCCGCGAGAUGAUCUAUCCUCUGCGAGGACUCCAGCAUUGCUUCCGCCGAUAAGUCGUCCAACGUCACCAAAUCAACUGGAAGAAGAGCGAUAUAACAUUAUUUGGAAACUCGGCGAGGGCGAAAUAUGGCAGCAUGUCUCUCCUGAGCCCGGAAUACAUGAUCCUGCCGCCGGAGGUGAGCGUGACCCUCGAGACCAUCGUCAGGAUCUCGUACGUGGGCGGAUGCAGGGUGAGGAUGACGAGCCGCUGGCCACGACUGGCCCACUGCCUCAGGUAUUCGACCAGGAAGAAGGCGUCGAAGAUGUCCAGACCGUGCGUGGGCCUGUCCAGAGCGAGGACGUGCGAGUCUUGCAGCAGUCGACAAGCUAAGGCCAGUCGUCGGGCCUCGGAGGUCGUCAGGGUGUUCACCAGGCAGUGCUUGGUUGCCUCCAGGCCUAGCUCCUGCAGAACGGCCUCGGCUUCCAGCGCGGUGGUGUUGCGGCCGCCUCUUAGCAACAUGUAGAAGUUCAGGGUCUGCUGAGCCGUCAGUCCGGGACUCAAACCACUCUCCGUUGGCAGGUAAGCAACGCGAGAUCUGUUUGAAUUGAAGAGAAUAUUAUUUUGAACUGAAUCUGUGCGCGUAGAUAAUUAACCCGGAUAAUUAAUAUCCAAAUGAUUAAUAUGUAUAAUUAUCAAAGAGUUGAAUCUGGAUGUAAAAAUAAUUUGCCAAGCGCAAGAUUUAUUGCAAUUCUAUAAAAUGCAAAUUGUAGUCGAGAAUCGAAUAUUUUCGUGCAAUAAAGAAUUAAUACAUUAGUUACGUGAAACACUUUGCAAAGUUGUUCAAAUGAUGCGAAACUGAGAAGUUACACAAGAUUAAAUAUUGAACAGCAAUAAUAGAGGCAAUAAUAGCGGAAGCGACAAUUGAGGCGAUAAUUGAAUAAUGAGCGCUGCUUGUUAUUCUAACUUAAUGUCCAACUAUAUGAAAAUUUGCAUCCUAAUGCUCUCUCACUAGUUAUUACUUGCUAGUUACACCAUGUUUCGUUAAUGUCGGUUACCGUUAUAUAGCCGUGGUUAACUAAAUCUUUCUUUUCUGCUUGGAUCAUAGGCAGCGCUAUGAUCUAGAAAAAGAAAAGGGAGACUGAAUGAGCCAAGCUGCAGCGAACAUGUUACCGGCCAUGAAAAUCUCUUAUAGUUUUACUUCCAUUAAACAUCCAUAACUAUUUUAUACGUCAACCGGUGCAUUUUUUAUUGUACAAAAUUUUUUUUUUAAAUUUUAAAUUGAGGUGUUUCUUCUACAAAGCAACAGCUAUCAAUUGCGCAACGCGUAGUGACUCAUUGCUACGUACUACAGGAAAGCGUACGUAUAUGAACGUGCAGGAAGAAGAUUAGAAAGUAUACCUCAGAGUACGUGCCGAUACGGAUCUUCCAUUGAGCAGAAUAUCGCCUCUCUUUAUGCGUCUUCUGCCAGCGAUCGUCUCGACGAUCUGCGUGCCUUCCUUCUCCGUGGUAGCCAUGAUGGCCAGCAGCUCGGCGGCACCGGCCUCGAGGGUGACACCACGAAGAAGCGGCAGUCCGUCCGAGCCUGAAGCCUCCACACCUCGCAGCUGCAAGUGAGGAUGCUGCAGACACGCCACGGGUCUCAAUGGCAGCGCGUAACCUUCCGGUCCCAGGAUACCCGGGUGGCCUGCAAAAUUUGAUAAAAAUUAAUUUAGAAAAAAGAAAGAAUUUGUUAAC